UACGGGGGGGGUAAGCGUUGUUCGGAAUUACUGGGCGUAAAGGGCUCGUAGGCGGCCAACUAAGUCACACGUGAAAUCCCUCAGCUUAACUGGGGAACUGCGUGUGAUACUGGAUGGCUUGGAUUUGGGAGAGGGAUGCGGAAUUCCAGGUGUAGCGGUGAAAUGCGUAGAUAUCUGGAGGAAUACCGGUGGCGAAGGCGGCAUCCUGGACCGACAUUGACGCUGUAGCGCGAAAGCUAGGGGAGCAAACGGG
rnacentral:rRNA from 1 species